rnacentral:rRNA from 1 species
UACAGAGGUCCCAAGCGUUGUUCGGAUUCACUGGGCGUAAAGGGUGCGUAGGCGGUCGGAUAAGUCUGAUGUGAAAUCUUCGAGCUCAACUCGGAAACUGCAUUGGAUACUAUUCGGCUUGAGGUCUGGAGGGGGGACUGGAAUUCUCGGUGUAGCAGUGAAAUGCGUAGAUAUCGAGAGGAACACCAGUGGCGAAGGCGAGUCCCUGGACAGGUCCUGACGCUGAGGCACGAAAGCUAGGGGAGCAAACAGGAUUAGAAACCCCAGUAGUCC